CAAGGUUUGUAAACUCCCUCACGCAUAACUUAGCAGCCUGUUUCAUCUUACUGGUGCCCUUCGGUUUUUAACAAAUUCUCUGGAGUCUAUUUCAUACGAUUUUUCAUUUGUUUUCUCUUUAAAAGUCAUUUCUGCUAGGAGAAAUCCUCAAAUGCGUGAAAAAUUUGUAUUCAAUUCAGCCUCCAAGCUUUGUGUGGAACAACACUUCAGAGACCACUCGGAAGCUUUAGACCCUGAAAAUGGUGUGGUCCGCUUGCUUAACUAGAUUGGCUACACGGAGCACGGUCCACCUGUGCCCUGGCGUCUGUGCUGAUUGCCUUUUAGCUUCUGAGUGCAAUUCAAGGGAUCCCUCCACUCCCCACUGCGAGGAUCUGGGUUUGAUGUGCAGCAUUGACAUGACCGCACACAGGAGAUCUACAACUUCAUUUCAAGGGGAACUGAUGCCAAUUCCUGGCCUCCAUGGACAUCAUGCAUGUGGCUCAGUAUAUGAGGCUGCCUCAGAUCAGAUGUCCUCAGAAGAAAAUGCCUGGAUCUGCUAAUGACUAGAAUUACCUGAUGUUGAACACCAGUUGAGUAGUGUUACCACCAAGAAACACACUAUGUGUUCCCGACAACUACCACACGUCAUGAGAGGCACCACUGCUCUUCAGUUCAAUACCGAGUACUAUUCACUUUCCACAUAGUAUAAGAAGCUUAAGAUCACAAUAUGGGACUGAACAGAAAGAUGACUGUUGAAAAUG